rfam:Triticum urartu cultivar G1812 contig1455209, whole genome shotgun sequence.
CAACUACUCCCUCCGUUCAGAAUUACUUGUCUCAGAAAUGGAUAUAUUUAGAUGUCUAGAUAUAUCCAUUUCUGAGACAAGUAAUUCCGAACGGAGAGAGUAGUCA